rnacentral:tRNA from 1 species
GGUAGCGUGGCCGAGUGGUCAGGGCGUCGGACGUGUAAUCCGGAGGACCCGGGUUCAAGUCCUCCAUCCAUAUGCCA